UACGAAGGGGGGCUAGCGUUGCUCGGAAUCACUGGGCGUAAAGCGCACGUAGGCGGAUCUUUAAGUCAGGGGGUGAAAUCCUGGAGCUCAACUCCAGAACUGCCUUUGAUACUGGGGAUCUCGAGUCCGGAAGAGGUGAGUGGAACUCCGAGUGUAGAGGUGAAAUUCGUAGAUAUUCGGAAGAACACCAGUGGCGAAGGCGGCUCACUGGUCCGGUACUGACGCUGAGGCACGAAAGCGUGGGGGAGCAAACAGG
rnacentral:rRNA from 1 species